rnacentral:hammerhead_ribozyme from 1 species
GUAUUACUGAAGAGUCCCGAACUAGGACGAAACAGCCGUCAAGUAC